GGCAAAACCACUUUACUUCACAUGCUCAAAGACGAGAGAUUAGUUCAGCAUCAGCCGACGCAACAUCCAACGUCUGAAGAACUUAGCAUUGGCAAAAUCAA